CAAAUCUGCACACGUCGUGGUCCCCGGCGUCUUUCAGCGCCGGGGCUAAGAGGGAAUUCGGUGCGCCCGUCAGCGCUAUUGCGCUUUCCGAAAGCUGGUUUUGGUUUUCGGGGUUGAUGUAUCGGGUAAUGCCGAAGCUGCCCCCGCAACUGUGAGCGGCGAGCUCUUCUCCAACAUGCCACUGGAGACACCCGGGAAGGCGGAGAGAGGCUGUGACCCGCGAGCCAGGAGACCUGCCAUGACGAGAACGUCCAC
rnacentral:ncRNA from 2 species